rnacentral:rRNA from 1 species
UACGUAGGGGGCAGGCGUUGUCCGGAAUCAUUGGGCGUAAAGAGCGUGUAGGCGGCCAGAUAAGUCCGCUGUGAAAACUCGAGGCUCAACUUCGAGCUGUCGGUGGAAACUAUUUGGCUAGAGUCCGGAAGAGGAGAGUGGAAUUCCUGGUGUAGCGGUGAAAUGCGCAGAUAUCAGGAAGAACACCCGUGGCGAAGGCGGCUCUCUGGUACGGAACUGACGCUGAGACGCGAAAGCGUGGGGAGCGAACAGG